rnacentral:rRNA from 1 species
UACGGGGGGGCAAGCGGUUGUUCGGAAUUACUGGGCGUAAAGGGCUCGUAGGCGGCCAACUAAGUCGGAUGUGAAAUCCCCAGGCCUCAACCUGGGAACUGCAUCCGAUACUGGAUGGCUUGAAUUCGGGAGAGGGAUGCAGAAUUCCAGGUGUAGCGGUGAAAUGCGUAGAUAUCUGGAGGAAUACCGGUGGCGAAGGCGGCAUCCUGGACCGACAUUGACGCUGAUGAGCGAAAGCUAGGGGGAGCAAACGGG